UUAACAGAUUACUACAACUGAGAUUUAGCAUCAUCCCUUCGGCCUUCCGGUUUCUGUUUGCACCCAGAGCUGAUCCUGUGCCACAGAGUCCAGAGCUGAUGCUGUGCCACAAUCUCCAUACCUAAACACCACUGGGAGAAAGCUAGCCUCCCAGGAGUUUGGACAAGCCUAUAAGCGCAAGUAAGACCACCACUUCUGCUCAGAGGGACCUGCCCAGAACCCUCAGUACACAGGAACCGAGGAGCAACGUGAGACAGGAGCCUUCCAGUUUUCCUCUGCGCCACAGCACGAGGGAGCUGGGGAGUGCCCACAAGUGAAAAUCACCACCCGUCAAGUCUCCAGGGUUCCAGACCUUUCCUCGACAGAAGAAGAAGCAAUGUGCAGCCCACUGCUCCAUAUCUGAUGCCUUCUCUGUCUGGACUUUAUUCGCCUCCAGAUCAACCCUCUGACUGUUCCACAUCCCAUACCUCCUUCCCCCACCUCCAAGUGGAUGUCCCUACUCCCUCACCCAACAUCAAAAGACAGCCCCACUUCCUUGGGCCUCAAGUCUCCUGAAGGUUAAGUACAUCUUCUCUUACUGAGUCCAGAUCCCACAGACCUCUGCUGUCAGGGGCCUCAUAUCAGCUGUUGUAUGCUGCCUGAUGGUGGCUCAGUGUCUGAGAGAUCUUGGGGUGUACAGGUUAGUUGAGACUGCUGGUCUUCCAAUAGUGUCAUCCUCUUCCUCUGUUCUACUUUUAAACCUCAAGAUCAUUUUGUCUUUUUGCUCCUCUCACAUAUGGCGGUCCUCUCUGUUGAGAAACAUCCAGAUCAGCUUAGAGGGAUAACUACAAAAUUAAUCUACAGAUGUGUGAACAUAGUUGAAUAACAGAUACCCAGUGGGUCAUUAAACUCAACUAGUUACCAGAGGCAAUAGAAGCAGACUAUACACUAACUUAUAUAGAGAUAACCCCCCCAAAAAAACAAUAACAACAAACAGAGAAAAGCUGAAUCAUAUAGCAAACAAUCAUAACUCAAAAUGUUAGCCAAUGAGGAGAAGCAAUGGCAACCUGAUAUUCAUAAUUAGUAAAAGAAGUUGA